rnacentral:rRNA from 1 species
GAUGAACGCUGGCGGCGUGCCUAAUACAUGCAAGUCGAGCGAACAGACGAGGAGCUUGCUCCUCUGACGUUAGCGGCGGACGGGUGAGUAACACGUGGAUAACCUACCUAUAAGACUGGGAUAACUUCGGGAAACCGGAGCUAAUACCGGAUAAUAUAUUGAACCGCAUGGUUCAAUAGUGAAAGACGGUUUUGCUGUCACUUAUAGAUGGAUCCGCGCCGCAUUAGCUAGUUGGUAAGGUAACGGCUUACCAAGGCAACGAUGCGUAGCCGACCUGAGAGGGUGAUCGGCAACACUGGAACGGAGACACGGUCCAGACUCCUACGGGAGGCAGAAGUAGGGAAUCUUCCGCAAUGGGCGAAAGCCUGACGGAGAAACGCCGCGUGAGUGAUGAAGGUCUUCGGAUCGUAAAACUCUGUUAUUAGGGAAGAACAAAUGUGUAAGUAACUAUGCACGUCUUGACGGUACCUAAUCAGAAAGCCACGGCUAACUACGUG